AUACGGAGGAUCCGAGCGUUAUCCGGAUUUAUUGGGUUUAAAGGGAGCGUAGGUGGACAGUUAAGUCAGUUGUGAAAGUUUGCGGCUCAACCGUAAAAUUGCAGUUGAUACUGGUUGUCUUGAGUACAGUAGAGGUGGGCGGAAUUCGUGGUGUAGCGGUGAAAUGCUUAGAUAUCACGAAGAACUCCGAUUGCGAAGGCAGCUCACUGGACUGCAACUGACACUGAUGCUCGAAAGUGUGGGUAUCAAACAGGAUUAGAUACCCUGGUAGUCCACACAGUAAACGAUGAAUACUCGCUGUUUGCGAUAUACAGUAAGCGGCCAAGCGAAAGCAUUAAGUAUUCCACCUGGGGAGUACGCCGGCAACGGUGAAACUCAAAUGAAUUGACGGGG
rnacentral:rRNA from 1 species